rnacentral:tRNA from 1 species
AUUAUAAUUAAUAUAAUCUAAUUAUAUAUUAUAUUUAUAUAAAUAUUAAGAUUAUAUUAUCCAAUAUUAAUUAUAAUA